rnacentral:rRNA from 1 species
AUUGAACGCUGGCGGCAGGCCUAACACAUGCAAGUCGAGCGGAUGAAGGGAGCUUGCUCCUGGAUUCAGCGGCGGACGGGUGAGUAAUGCCUAGGAAUCUGCCUGGUAGUGGGGGACAACGUUUCGAAAGGAACGCUAAUACCGCAUACGUCCUACGGGAGAAAGCAGGGGACCUUCGGGCCUUGCGCUAUCAGAUGAGCCUAGGUCGGAUUAGCCAGUUGGUGAGGUAAUGGCUCACCAAGGCGACGAUCCGUAACUGGUCUGAGAGGAUGAUCAGUCACACUGGAACUGAGACACAGUCCAGACUCCUACGGGAAGCAGCAGUGGGGAAUAUUGGACAAUGGGCGAAAGCCUGAUCCAGCCAUGCCGCGUGUGUGAAGAAGGUCUUCGGAUUGUAAAGCACUUUAAGUUGGGAGGAAGGGUUGUAGAUUAAUACUCUGCAAUUUUGACGUUACCGACAGAAUAAGCACCGGCUAACUCUGUGCCAGCAGCCGCCGUAAGAC